GACGAACCGAGCGAACGUUGUUCGGAAUCACUGGGCUUAAAGGGUGCGUAGGCGGGCUUGUAAGUCAGUGGUGAAAGCCCGGAGCUCAACUCCGGAACUGCCAUUGAUACUGCAAGUCUUGAGUACACUUGAGGUGGGCGGAAUACAUCAUGUAGUGGUGAAAUACUUAGAUAUGAUGUAGAACACCGAUUGCGAAGGCAGCUCACUAAAUUGUAACUGACGCUGAGGCACGAAAGCGUGGGGAUCAAACAGG
rnacentral:rRNA from 1 species